rnacentral:lncRNA from 10 species
CCGAUCUUGCACUUAUGAUCCAACUUGUCAUGAUGAGUUAUCCUCUUUCCUGUGGUCAUAUUACGUGUGUGAAUUCUGUGCAUGUUUUUGCAUCUCUUUCAUGAGUGAGAUAAAUUUCCUUUCCUCUGCUCCUCUUCAGAGGAUCCAGCAUGACGAACGAACCGGCCUUGUUAAAAUCUGUCCAGACACCUCACUUGCUUUUUGUUUAUUCACUCAGUGUAUUUGUCUGAGAUGGACUUUUUUCCCCACUGAAAUAUUUGGUUCCAUUGCCUGGUGAAGCCAUCUGCACUUGGAAAUUUUUGUGGAAUUUCCCCCUCCCUUCUCAUGAGCUAACUUUAAAUUGCGGAUUUAAUUUUCUGAUCAUGGGGCUUCUGUGUUCAUGGCAAGCAACGCUCUCAAAGGAUCGCCAGGUCAAGCUAAUACACAAGCCAUGGAUUUUGGUUUCUUGCUUUUCUUCUUCAAAUCUGUUGCUUUCCCCCUUAUUCUUGUGUCUUGUGUUGCUUUAAAAAUUAUUUAGGAUUUCGCAAAUAUAAAAUAAUUCAAUAGUUUUUCUACACAGAGAAAAUAAAUUGCCUAAAGUAAAACGCAUGAGAACCCAUUUACAAAAUAAACAAAAUAAGGACCUCAGCUUGAAUAACCUCAUUGAACUAUGCAAGUGAACUGUGGAAAAUAUCAUAAAACGUGGCUUUACUGGAAUUUUUAAAAUAAUACUCAAGUGUCAUGCAAUGAUUUAGUUCAGAAAGAGCAAUUAUUUUUAAGAGGACAAUUCUCUCAAAUUAUAUGUAUUUUAAAAAGAAGAACUUGUCCUGACAAGGCAAAGUAAAACAAGAAAACAAGGGGAAAAAAACCCUAAAAUAAUAUCGUUCUAAAACAUGCAUAAAUAAAUUGAAUACAAAUUAUUUUAAUAUGUACAAUCUCAUCAUUGUUGUUCUGUAGUGACUCACCUUCUGUAUAAAACUUAUCUAAAGCAGAUUCUGCAUUGUAUAUAUAAAAGGAAACAGCACAAAACAGGACAGGACUUGAAUUAUUUAAUAAAUGUGACUAGAAUAUUAUUUUUAUGAAAAAAUAUGUACUAACACUAUUCAUCAUAUAAUUCUAGGUGGGUUAGAGAGAUAAAGGAAAAAUCAAACCAUAAAAAGAGAAGGAAAUGUUGAUUAAUAUUUAUCUGAUUUCUAGAUGUGGAGAGCCUGCUGAGCUUAAAUAAAUGAAACCUGAUUUCAACCAUAGAUUAUUUCCCGUGACUGUCAGCUGCUCCGUAAAAACCCAGCUUGGAAACAGGGUGGCGGUUGGGGAUCCCACCAGGAAGGAAAGGCUUGAGCAGCUCAGUUAUUUCCAUGUGAGGACACAGCCCUGUCUCCUUUGUGACUUAAAAAAAAAAAAAGUAAAAUAAAACUUCCAUUAGGUACUAUUUUAGCAAAGAUUGGUUUUAAAAGAUACACAAUUCGGUGAAAAUAAGAUUUUAGUAUAAAUUUUCCUAAAUAAAUAUUGGCAAAUAUAAUGGUGAAAUCCUGUCAAGGGUUUCAAAACUGGCCAGGCGCAAUGGCUCACGCCUGUAAUCCUAGCACUUUGGGUGGCUGAGGUAGGUGGAUACCUGAGGUCAGGAGUUCGAGACCAGCUUGGCCAACAUGGUGAAACCCUGUCUCUACUAAAAAUACAAAAAUUAGCUGGGCAUGGUGGCACGUGCCUGUAGUCCCAGCUACUCAGGAGGCUGAGGCAGGAGAAUCACUUGAACCCAGGAGGCGGAGGUUUGAAUGAGCUGAGAUCACGCCACUGCACUCCAGCUUGGGUGACACAGCAACAUUCUGUCUCAAAAAGAAAAAAAAAAAAAAAGAGUUUCAAAACUCAAUCGGCUGCUUUGUGGGAUUUAGAGAGGUCUUCCUGGAUCUAAUAAACUACUUGAGCUAAAUAUGCUCAUCUUGGGGCAGGAUGUUCUCCUUCUGUAAGUCUCUAGAGGCAGUAUAUAGAAUCCUUCAAUAUUUCUGAAAGUAACAGAUGAGAGGUCAAAUACACAGCAACUUCCUUUGCACUGAAGUUGCCACGGUAACUUUCUACCAUGGGAAAUUUGAGAAAGAUUAUUUUAUUUGAUGUCUUACUGUACAUAAUAAGCAAAUACCAAAACAAUGGUAUUUAAAUAUCUUUUCUUUGGAGGGAUAACAUAAAGAAUAAAUGCCUCUUUUUGUUGAAUUUCAUAAAACAAUGUCUACCACACUGGAUAUGGGUAGAGAAAUGAAAAAUGAAGAAAGAACCCACAGAACCUGAGCCAUGGAACUAGAAGAGGUGGUACCCUCCUGUCCCAUGCUAGAAUUUCGGCGCAAGGGUCCCUAAACCACACCCCUGUAUACAGUGCCCAGCCUUGGUUCGGCCUGCCACUGUCCCCUGUGGACACCAUGCCAGCCUUCAUCUCUUCACCUCUCCUUGAGUUGAUGCAAGACCCUGAGUAGCUUCUCACUCUCUUCAGUCUCCAUAUAACUGUGCCCAUCUACCUCAUCAGCCAGUGCCCAGGUGGCAUGAACUUGGAUGACUUGUGUACGUAUUAUUAAUGACUGGAUUGUCUUACAUCAUCCCUAAAUUAUUCCAAGGAGCUUCUAUUUAUCUUUCCAUUAAGAAAAUGACUGACCUGAUGCCUAUUUAGAGUUAUUUUGUGUACCUAACACAAUGCCAAGCAAACGCUCACUGGGCACGUUUUCAAAGUGGACGUCAUUGAUCUUUGAUGGCUGUGUCUUCUUCUGCCUUCCACCCACACAUGCAGUGCCUCUGACUUCUCAUGGCCUGGUUUGGCCCUGUUCUACCCUACAGAGUUUAUUUCUCCUAAGUCUAAGGGUCCAGGGUCUCCUGAAUUCUUGUACUACUCAAACAUAUCCCUGGGCAGCUUCUGAGUUAAAACCACACUUUUCCCAACCUCCUUGUAGAUAAUCUAAUUUCCUCCUUCCAUAGGUAAUAUCCCUUCUUUUCCCCUAUUCCUUUUUAACUGUCGUCAACUGCAAAGGGUUUUCCGCAUCUUUAUGAUCUACAAGAUCUCACAUUUGUGAUGAGGAAAAGACUCACAUUUUGCAUCAGGUAAUGUUUUUCGAUUAAUGUGCUCCUGCCUCCCUGAAGCUUCUGAGGCUUCAGCCCAUUCCCGAAUUCUAGUCGAAGAAGCAUUUUGGUGCUCCAUUUUGGUUUCAAAGCAAUUCAUUGCCUGCUCUAAAGUGCUAUAAAAUGUUAGUGGCAUGAAUUUGGUAGCAGUGACCCAGGCAGCACGGCGAAGAACGGUGAUGGAAUUUGGGUAACACUAAAUAAGAAAACAAAACUGAUGCAACUUUAAAGUAUUUAACAUAUCCUUGAUACUCAAUGAAUAUUUUAUCUUUUCCUUGGGUGAAAAUAAUGAGGAUAGUUCUGCAUGCUACCUGAGAACAAAUAUGUAACACGUGUCUCCCUAACAAACAUUUCCAUUUAGAACUUCUAAGUAUAUGCACCGUGUGGUGCUAACCAUAACUUUGCAGGAAAUAUUUACUGGUGAUGCUAUUUUUGAAAAAAAUAAUUGAUAUUAUACUGGAAAACUUAAAUAAACCAAUUCAAAUCUUAUGUCAUAUAUUAAUUUCAAGCUCUGACUUUACUUCAUGUAUUCAGUGGUAUACUCUGAAAUCUACAAAUAAAAUGCUUAUGCUGUUUCAUUUUGACCUUCAGAUAUCUUUGCAUAGAAGAUACAGCCAAA